CAGUGUCACUGUUUGCUUCAGCUGCAAACAGUGCAACUGCUCCAGAUGCAUGCUGUGAAAGCUCUUCUUGACGGUGAUACAUUAUUGGACAAAGCUAAAUUGGGCAUCAAAAACUUUUUUUUCAUUAGAUCCUUGAAGCUUUUUUAAAUUUCGUUUUUUGUUUUUUGGGGGGGGGGACUCGUGAAAGAACUUUCAACUCCGUGGACAGUUUGGAUAAAUCUUUUCAGAGAACACCUUGAUGACUGCCAGAGCAUCCACAGAUCACCGCGUCGUUGGUAAUGAUGAAGAGUCACUGCUUUGUUCUGAGAGCUGCUUUAGAAGACUUUCAAAAGGACUGAAAAGUUUUUUUUGAUGAGGAACAAACUCAGAGAUCUUCAUCGUGAGCUGACAAGUCUCCAUUAUGUUUCUGGAGACUCAAGGUUUUUUAGGGUCAUCGUGAAAUUUAAACCUCUUCAGCUUGAGGUUUACUAAAGCAAGUGAAAGAUGGAUAACACGAACACAGAUACUUACUUCCAUCCUCCAGCGGAUCCCUGGAUCCUGGUUGUGUUGGUCAACAUCAUAUUGAUCACGGUGGUGGGAAACCUGCUGGUGAUAAUUGCUGUGGCCCGCACUCCUCAGCUUCAGACUUCCACAAACAUCUUUAUCAUGUCCCUGGCUUGUGCGGAUCUCAUCAUGGGAGUUCUUGUUGUCCCUCUUGGGGCUAGUUACGUGGUGAUAGGUAAAUGGGAACUUGGAACAACGCUGUGUGACAUCUGGACUUCUAUUGACGUUCUUUGUGUGACGGCCAGUAUUGAAACACUUUGUGUCAUUGCGGUGGAUCGAUACAUAGCCAUCACACGGCCGCUUAGACACAAAGUGCUACUGAGCAAGUUGCGUGCUAGAAUAAUAGUUUGUUUAGUGUGGCUUGUGUCCACCUUAAUUUCAUUUGUACCAAUUAUGCAAGGGUAUUGGCAUUCCAGUGAUCACAAAGCAACAGAAUGCUACGGAAAUACUACCUGCUGUGACUUUGUGACCAACCCGUCUUAUGCUAUUUCCUCCUCUAUAGUGUCUUUCUACAUUCCUCUGCUCAUAAUGAUAUUUGUAUACACCAGAGUCUUUGUAAUAGCAGCGCGGCAGGUCAAGCUCAUAGACCGGAGCAGGAUGCGCUUCCAGAACGAGUGUCCUGCAGCUCAGAUUGGUGCCAACAUCUUGCCUUCGGUUUGUUUGAGCUCCAGCAUCUGCAACAGUGCAACGAGGAAAAAGAGCACCAAGAGGAGGCCAUCACGGCUAAUACUUGUCAAGGAGCACAAGGCCCUAAAGACUUUGGGCAUCAUCAUGGGGACAUUCACUGUGUGCUGGCUGCCAUUCUUUGUGGCCAACAUCAUUAAUGCUUUUAAGAAAGACAUUCCCGGGGAUGAUCUUUUUAGAUUGUUGAACUGGCUGGGUUACAUCAACUCUGGCCUCAAUCCCAUCAUCUACUGCAGGAGUCCAGAGUUUCGCACUGCAUUUAAGAACCUGAUGGGCUGUCCUUGGUUGUCCACCAUGUGGAUAAAUGCUUUCUAUAAGGAACUGAGGACCCGCUGCUCCUGCUUUCUGUGGCAAACAGACUCAGACACAAACGGCUCUUUGCACAAAUCUCCAAGUGGCAGAACUGAAGGCAGCAACAGUCUGGGCAGCCGAAGUGAGGAGGUUUCCCUUGGUCAUGUGCAAUCAAAUGGCAGCACGCAGCUGAGUGACAUCUCAGAACCAGAGCCCACAUUACAUCAAUGAAUGUACGUUACAAAGGAUAUUUAAAGGUUUCUAAAUGUCUUCCAUAAAAGGAGAGUGGUGUGGGCUGCUGUAAAUCACCCCAAGGGGAAGGCUUAGCCGGCUCACCCGGCGCUUUAAGUAGGAUAACAAAUUUACAUUUUACAAGAAAACCACGGAUGAGCUGUAAGAUGGACUUCUUCUCCAGAAGACUGUGAUUCCUGCAAAGUCUGACGCCAAACAACAGUGAACAGUGAAGACAAGCUAAAAGACACGAAUCCCAAUAGAGAAAGACAUUUAAGCACUGUGACUGCCUUUAAUAUUUUUUUUGUGGACCAGAUAUGGAAUGGUUCUUUGCAGACAUUUAAUGAAACCCUGUGAGCGCCUCAGUCAUUUACAUAUUGUUUACAAAAAAUGAAAAAAUAAACCCUUUGUAAGAAAAAUGCAAAUACUUUAUGAGUUCCUGAAAAUGCUCAGAUGAAAUGUACAGUGUGUUGCUUUCGGUUUCAAAAGUUUGUUAUCGUGUAAGAAUAUAUUAUCUAAUAAGUUAUAUAUUUAUUAUACACUGAAUCUGUAGCAAAGUACAAAGUUUGACUGGGCUGUCUUUAACUGUUGGAACCUUUUUAUGUAUUUUCAGUGUAGUAGUCAAACGUAUGUGCUAUUUCUUUAAACACUCUCUUACAAUCUAUUCAGUUCCAUGUCUGUUUAAGCCAGGGCUGCAUGUACGCACACACAGCUGAUCUUCAACCCCUUUCGGGGCUUCAUAUACGCACAAUUCAUCUUCAACCCCCUCUGGGGCUUCAUAUACGCACAGUUGAUCUUCAACCCCCUCAUCUAUCCUAAAUUAAAAUAUGGCUGGUAGAAAACUGCUGAUGAAAUUUAAAGCUAAGACACUUGUUAGAUAAUAUGGACAAGAGUUUGUCGUUGUAUAGAAUAGAACAAGGUACAGUAUUCUAAACUGCAAGAACAUGUAUGAAAAUGAAUUACUUUAUGCCAUGAUGUCAAACUUUUUGUGCCUUUUGUAAAGCGACUAUAUAAGCUCCAUAAGACACUAAAAUAAAGUAAAUAUAAAAAUUA